AUACGUAGGGGGCGAGCGUUGUCCGGAAUGAUUGGGCGUAAAGGGCGCGUAGGCGGCCCGGUAAGUCUGGAGUGAAAGUCCUGUUUUUAAGAUGGGAAUUGCUUUGGAUACUGUCGGGCUUGAGUGCAGGAGAGGUAAGUGGAAUUCCCAGUGUAGCGGUGAAAUGCGUAGAGAUUGGGAGGAACACCAGUGGCGAAGGCGACUUACUGGACUGUAACUGACGCUGAGGCGCGAAAGUGUGGGGAGCAAACAGGAUUAGAUACCCUGGUAGUCCACACUGUAAACGAUGAAUGCUAGGUGUGGGGGGUAUCGACCCCCUCCGUGCCGGAGUUAACGCAAUAAGCAUCCCACCUGGGGAGUACGGCCGCAAGGUUGAAACUCAAAUGAAUUGACGGGG
rnacentral:rRNA from 1 species